rnacentral:rRNA from 1 species
UACGUAGGGUGCAAGCGUUAAUCGGAAUUACUGGGCGUAAAGCGUGCGCAGGCGGUUUGGUAAGACAGAUGUGAAAUCCCCGGGCUUAACCUGGGAACUGCAUUUGUGACUGCAUGGCUAGAGUGCGGCAGAGGGGGAUGGAAUUCCGCGUGUAGCAGUGAAAUGCGUAGAUAUGCGGAGGAACACCGAUGGCGAAGGCAAUCCCCUGGGCCUGCACUGACGCUCAUGCACGAAAGCGUGGGGAGCAAACAGG